CUGUGGAAGUUCCCAGGCCAGGAAGGGGCAGGGAUCAAACCCACUGCUACUCAGUGACGACACUGGGUCCUUAACCGGCUGCAACACAAAGGAACUCUCUGACCACGCCCUUGAACUUGGACUUCUGGCCCCUAGAACUAAAAUAUCCACGCAGCAAGGCAUUUAUCUGGAUGCCAACAAGCUCCAAACUGCUUUCAAAAUCAACCUCAAAACCUUUCAAUCCUUUCUGAUGCACAAGAAGAGGCCUGAAUUUCUGUGUGGUACCUUGGAAGUGAAAGGACAGUUUCUAUGCCAACACCAGCCCCAUCAAUCAAGGUAAAGAGGCGGCGCUCGGACGACGGGCCUUCCCCUAGCUUCUAACGCAGCAGUCUCACCUAGAUUGUUUCUAACCCAGCAGAGAGUGGCAAAUCCCACAGCUGAUGAAGCAACAGAGCAGAGUCUGGAAUCUGGGUCUGUCAAGAUUCCAGGGCAUCACUCAUCUUCCUCAGCCUUGCACUCACUCUUAGGAAAACAGGUUUAUUGUGAUUUAAUUCUCUUACUUUACAAUGCACCCAUUUACAGUGUACAAUUCCAUGGAACACUAUCACUGUAUUAACACUGUAGUGUAUGAAUAGAUUGCAGUGUAUUAACAGAGAGAUGCUACCAUCAUCACAUUCUAAUUUUUUUUUUUUUAGGGCCAUGUUGCAGCAUAUGGAGGUUCCCCUGCUAGGGGUCGAAUCAGAACUGUAGCUGACCGCCUACACCACAGCCACAGAAAUGCCUGAUUCUUGACCCAAUGAGCAAGGCCAGGGAUUGAACCUGCAUCCUCAUGGAUGCUAUUCAGGUUCGUUAACCGCUGAGCAAUGACGGGAACUCCACCACAGUCUAAUUUUAGAACAUUGUGAUCACCCUGAAAAAAAACCCGUGCCUAAUCAGCCCCUUAGUUACUAUCCAUUCCCCCUCCCCACCAAUUCUUUGGCCGCAGGCAACCACUAAUCCACUUCCUAUCUCCCUGCAGUUGCCUGUUCUGGACACUUCAUGUAAAUGGAAACACACAUUGUUUGGCCCUUUGUGACUGGCACCUUUCACUGAGCCUAAUGUUUUCAAGGCUUAUCCCGUCAUAGCAUGAAUCAGCAAUUUAUUCGUUUUAAGGCCAGUAAUAUUCUAUUGGAUGGAUGGACCACAUUAUUUCCCUAUUAACCAACUGAUAGAUAUUUGGGCUGCUUCCACUUUUUCACUAUUGUGAGCAUCAGGCUGCUGAAAACAUUCAUGUGCAAGUUUCUGUAUAUAGGUAUGUUUUUAAUUCUCCUGGGUAUAUCCCUAGGAGUGCAAUUG
rnacentral:lncRNA from 1 species